GAGUUUGAUCGUGGCUCAGAUUGAACGCUGGCGGCAUGCCUUACACAUGCAAGUCGAACGGCAGCACGGGAGCUUGCUCCUGGUGGCGAGUGGCGAACGGGUGAGUAAUGCAUCGGAACGUAUCCUGGAGUGGGGGAUAACGUAGCGAAAGUUACGCUAAUACCGCAUAUUCUGUGAGCAGGAAAGCGGGGGACCUUCGGGCCUCGCGCUCUUGGAGCGGCCGAUGUCGGAUUAGCUAGUUGGUGAGGUAAAGGCUCACCAAGGCGACGAUCCGUAGCAGGUCUGAGAGGAUGAUCUGCCACACCG
rnacentral:rRNA from 1 species